rnacentral:rRNA from 1 species
CCUACGGGAGGCAGCAGUAACGAAUCUUCCGCAAUGCACGAAAGUGUGACGGGGCAAUGCCGCGUGUGGGAUGAAGCCCUUAGGGGUGUAAACCACUGUCAGGGACUACCAACAACAUGAGGAGUCCCAAAGGAAGAGCCGGCUAACUCUGUGCCAGCAGCCGCGGUAAUACAGAGGGCUCGAGCGUUAAUCGGAAUCACUGGGCUUAAAGCGUGCGUAGGCGGAUUUGAAGGCGCUUUGUGAAAUCCCUCGGCUCAACCGAGGAACUGCUUGGCGAACCACAAAUCUUGAGGCUGGUAGAGGUGGUCGGAACAAUAGGUGGAGCGGUGAAAUGCGUAGAUAUCUAUUGGAACACCGAAGGUGAAGACAGGCCACUGGGCCAGUCCUGACGCUGAGGCACGAAAGCGUGGGUAGCAAACGGGAUUAGAUACCCCGGUAGUCCACGCCGUAAACGAUGCGCACUUGGUCGAGGGGGUUGAACGCCUUCUCGGCCGUAGGAAACUGAUUAGUGCGCCGCCUGGGGAGUACGGUCGCAAGNUUAAAACUCAAAGGAAUUGACGGCUGAGACGNGCGAGCGACGACGAGGAGAG